rnacentral:rRNA from 1 species
GUGGGGAAUAUUGGACAAUGGGGGGAACCCUGAUCCAGCCAUGCCGCGUGUGUGAAGAAGGCCUUUUGGUUGUAAAGCACUUUAAGCGAGGAGGAGGCUACCGAGAUUAAUACUCUUGGAUAGUGGACGUUACUCGCAGAAUAAGCACCGGCUAACUCUGUGCCAGCAGCCGCGGUAAUACAGAGGGUGCAAGCGUUAAUCGGAUUUACUGGGCGUAAAUCGCGCGUAGGUGGACAAUUAAGUCACAUGUGAAAUCGCCGAGCUUAACUUGGGAAUUGCAUUCGAUACUGGUUGGCUAGAGUAUGGGAGAGGAUGGUAGAAUUCCAGGUGUAGCGGUGAAAUGCGUAGAGAUCUGGAGGAAUAUCGAUGGCGAAGGCAGCCAUCUGGCCUAAUACUGACACUGAGGUGCGAAAGCAUGGGGAGCAAACAGGAUUAGAUACCCCAGUAGUCC